AUAUCAGGGUCAAAAGCCGCAGGGCGUUCCUGUUUGCAGGAUAAGAUUUGCGGCUUAAUGACCCGCCAAAACAUGAGGAAGUAGCCCGAUUAGGGCGGAUUUCGAAUGUUUUAGAAUUGAGGGAGUUGCAGAGCAACGGAGCAAUUCGUGAU
rnacentral:sRNA from 1 species